rnacentral:tRNA from 1 species
CAUUAAGAAGCUAACUAGCAUUAACCUUUUAAGUUAAAGAUUGGGAAUCAAAAUUCUCCUUAAUGA